CCUACGGGUGGCAGCAGUGGGGGAUAUUGCACAAUGGGGGAAACCCUGAUGCAGCGACGCCGCGUGUGGGAAGACGGUCCUCUGGAUUGUAAACCGCUGUCCCCAGGGACGAAGAUGACGGUACCUGGGGAGGAAGCUCCGGCUAACUACGUGCCAGCAGCCGCGGUACUACGUAGGGAGCGAUCGUUGUCCGGAAUUACUGGGUGAAAAGGGAGCGUAGGCGGGGAUGCAAGUUGGGUGUCAAAACUACCGGCUAAACUGGUCGUCGCAAUCAAACCUGCAGCUCUUGAGUGAAGUAGAGGCAGGCGGAAUUCCUAGUGUAGCGGUGAAAUGCGUAGAUAUUAGGAGGAACACCAGUGGCGAAGGCGGCCUGCUGGGCUUUUACUGACGCUGAGGCUCGAAAGUGUGGGGAGCAAACAGGAUUAGAUACCCCAGUAGUC
rnacentral:rRNA from 1 species